UACGGGGGGGGCAAGCGUUGUUCGGAAUUACUGGGCGUAAAGGGCUCGUAGGCGGCCAACUAAGUCAGACGUGAAAUCCCUCGGCUUAACCGGGGAACUGCAUCUGAUACUGGAUGGCUUGAGUUCGGGAGAGGGAUGCGGAAUUCCAGGUGUAGCGGUGAAAUGCGUAGAUAUCUGGAGGAACACCGGUGGCGAAGGCGGUUCUCUGGGCCUUACCUGACGCUGAGGAGCGAAAGCGUGGGGAGCAAACAGG
rnacentral:rRNA from 1 species